UUGGCAUCAAUUUGGUUUUCAGGUUGGUUCGGCCAUCCUUGGUCCAGUAUUUUAGUGACUGGAUGUGAAGAUUUGCCAUUUGACCUAGAGAAGACCUGUAAAUUUUAUUAAUGCAUGCAUCCAUAAUGCAUGGAAAAUUGGUCUAAUUAGAUAUUUCCUUCAUAAAAAGAAGAUUAUUGUGACAUCUCUUUUGUUCUUGCUAAUGUGGCUUUUGUAGUAUUUACAAACCAAGAAGGUGACCAUGUUAUUGAUGACAAUUAAGAAUUGGCUGGAAAUUGUCAAAGCCUUGUAACCAGAGCAACUGAUCGAUAUGCAGUAUCAAGAUUGAUGAUGUAUGACUGUGACUUAUGAUAUAUGGUGCCUCUGUGUAGCCAGAAGAAAUUGUAGAUGACUUGAUAGUUGAAACUAGUUAUUUUCUAUCCAUUUGGGGAUGUGUAAUCAAUACCGAAAGGGCUAAAGGUCCAGUUAUGGUAGAAUACAGAUUCAUUAGCAUAUUUGUUGUCUAAUUUGGCCCGUUACUGUGAUGUGUGCAUUGUUAAACACAUCAACAUCGUGCGCUUCUUAGACAGAUUUCUGGUUCCUGCUUUAUUGGCAUUAUGUGUUAAACAUGUAUUUGAAGGCCAAGAAACCAAAAGAUUUUUCUCUAUUAGGAAAUUAAUUUUUCUCAGCAGCCGAUGAACGCAAUAGCAAGCUGAGUUCGAUUAUGAGGAUUUGCAUUUUAGCAAUCCACCUUAUUGAUAUUUUCUCCACUUUUGUCACAAGUUAAUUUUGCACAAGCUUCUGUUAUUCAUGAUUUGCGGUGUGGUCAGUGGAGCAACUUGUUUUUGGAAAUUUGUUGUCAUUCUUAAUAGCCAGCAUAUGAUAUCUUUCUCAGACCUUUUAUUACUUGUCUGAAGAACAUACGUUUGAUGCUUUGAAAUGGCAUUUUGCUGUUGAAUUAAGGAGGUAAUAUUGACUUUCUGAGACGCUUGUGUCCCACUUUUGUCAGUUUUAAAAUUCAUAUAAUUGUUAUGGAGAAACAGUAAGCAAUUGUAUCUUUUGGGAAGUUAUAAACAAAUCUUUUUUUGUCAUUGAGCCAGUAAAACAAACUGGUCAAUCAUCACUCAUUUUCAGCUAUGAACUUCUAUCUGGUAUUUGUUUCAUUGUAUAAUCAUGUGGAGGUACAUUUAGUCUGGAAUUUUACCAUAGAGAAACCUUGUUGUGAACCAGUGUUGCUUAUGGAAUAUUUAUACGAGUAGAAUGUGUGCAAGAGUAUUUAUCGAAUAAGGAAGGCUUUGUGACAUGGUUUACAUUGAAGGGGCUUGAAAUCCUGUGACAGUAAGUGUCUGUAUCUUGUGGUAACUGAGAAGCAAAUCUUUAUUGGCUAUUGAGCCAGUAAAACAAACUGGUCGGUCGUUGCUCUUUUUCAGCUAUGAACUUCUAUCUGGUAGAUAUAUUGCAUUGUAUAAUCAUGUGGAGACAUUUAAUGUUGAAGUUUACUAUAGACCGACUUUGUUGUGAACAAGUGUUGCUUAUGGAAAUUUUGUAUGGAAUAUUCAUAUGAGUAGAACCCGUGCAAUAUCAAAUAAGGAAGGCUUGUGAUGGUUUACGUGGAAGGUUUAUGAAAUUCUAUCCAUCAGGGCAGUUCCUGUAUGCUUAUUCGCAAUGGUAAAUUCGUUUCAUGGAGUUGUUUGGGUAAAAACACAGCUUUUGUCUCCAUGCGACUUCUAUAACUAGCUGAAGUAAGAUGUUUCCUCUCAUGUUUUGAAUAUUAUCUAUAGUCUUCUUGGAAUAAAAAUCUUUUUUUCGCUAGCUAGAUUUAGUUUUUGAAUCUUCUAUGCUGAUACCCGAGUGGCAUUUAUUUGCAUUUUUCUUUUAUAAUUAAGGUAGUUCCUUUAUCAGAUUAAUUUAAGGUUAUGAUUGGAGCUUCCUUCUUUGCAUCCCUUUCUAUCUUCUCUUGGUAAGGCAAACUUGGUGUUCUGUUGAUUUUACCUUUUUGGUGGCAAUGCAAUUACAUGAUCAAGAAACCUUCUCCCCUCUAAUUGAUUCAGUCUUAUUUUUAUCAAUUUGUUUUGUUCAAGAUUAAUGAUGUCCGCUGUAACAAGUUUGUUUAAUUGGAAAUUCAUGCACACGCAAACCUAGAUAAGAUCAGGUCAUUGCAUCAAGCAUGAAGCCGGAUAAGGUUGGAUCAAUGGUUCCUGUUAAGCAGACACUGAAUGCAUUAGAUGCUGGUGUUUUUCUUUUUCCCCUUUUCUUUUGGUGCUGUACUAGGUGAUUUCUUUAAGGCAGCAUUGUUUGGUCAGAUAGAUUUAUGGUCAUGGUUAAAGGCUUUCUACUCAUUUGUUUCUGUGCUUUGAUGGUAGUCAAAAUUGGGGUUUGGCGAUUCUUCAUGUUCCAUCUAUGAUACAAUGAGAAGAUUGAAAGAGCGUAUCCCAUCCAACUUGUUCAGACAUUUUUGUUGUUAAUGGUUCUUGUUCGUUGCUGAAAAUGCCAUGACUUUUGCUGCAUCAAGUUUCUUUUGAUGUUGGCAGGAAUGGUUGAUGAAUGAGGAUACAUAAAGUUGACUGCAAAAGGUUGAGAUAAGGCUUCAUGAUUAUGGUUGUGCUUUGUAGUUAAUCAAUUCAAAAUGUGGAAUAUGUUCAAGAUAUGCCGAAUUGGCAUUAUGGCUAAUUCUAAGUUUGUAUGUGCGGUACAUGAGUAAGGUUUCUAUAUAAAUGAUAACAAGUUUUUCAUGCUGUGUAUAAAUUAAUUGCAGUUCUCAUUUCA